rnacentral:lncRNA from 10 species
GUCUAGUUAUAAUAUCUAAUUUAUUACUUUAGUUACACAUGCAUAUUUAAAAUAACAUUAUAUAUAUAAUACAUUAAUACAAAAUAUUGCUUUUUUCCCAUUCUCACAUUUCAAGUAACAAUUUUAUUCACUCUCUACAUGCAUCUUGGACAUCAACGUCUUCAUGGUAUCUACAGUCCAUUUCUCAAAGUGUAUCUCCUUCACUUGCAUCUAAGCUGUCUGAGAUGCAGCACUUCUCAAAUACAUGUCUGACUCACUGGCAAGUUUGACCCAAGUUACCACAUUAGGACCAUCCUCCCCGGCCCCCAAUUUAUCAUGUAGGUGUAUUUGUAAUCCUUACAACAAAAUUACUUAUUGCUUUUGUAAUUGCUCUUUGAAAGGCAGAUUAUGAAACCUAACUCUUGCAAUAGUGAGGGAAUGAUUUUCCUGGUAUAAUGACUUAAGUUUCUUCCUUCCCCUCUAAUCCAUUCCAAUAAGAGGACUCUAUAAUGGUACAAAACUUCAUUGUUUGAGGUUGCUGUGGGUAGUAUGUUAGGAGAAACCAGAGGUAGAGCAGUUGCAGGAGAUCACCAAGUUUGGUUACAGGUGCAAUCGAGGAGUGAAACGCCAGUCUUGGGAACAGGCCAGAUUGCCGGGCAGACUGCCAUCAUGGACAGUGAUGUUCCUGGGGUGGGAAUGAAGUGACGAAACCUGGGAGUGGUAGAUGGAAGACUUGGAGAAACAGGCAGGAGCGGCUUGGAGCUGAGCAGAUGGCAAAAGUGAAAGGGCAGUUUCAGAUGGCAAGGCUGUGGAAGCAGCACUGGCUGGGAGUGGGUGCUACGGACAAUGAUGAUGGGGUGUGGGGUAGGGAGUCAGGACUGGGAAGAAAUGGUGUCUUGAGACUUGCAGAAUGGGCAAGUCCUAGAGAAAGAGUGAGAUGGUCACAAAGUCUGUAAACUGCAGGGUUGAGGGAGGGCACCUAAACUGCCCCCCGCAGGUCCCUUACUGUCUAGUAGCACUCAUCCCAUUGAGUGGUCAUUGCUUGCUUUCUGGACUGCAAGGAGGGCAGGCAGUGUUUGUCUUGGAUACUGCUGUAUCCCCAGCAACUACAACAGGCAUAUAAUAGGCCCUCAGGAAAUACAUACCUGAUGAAGAAAUAGAGAGAUGAAGGAAGAAGGAAAGAAAAGACUAAGUCUUGUUUUUAAGAAUUCACAUGUCCCAAAGCUCUGCAGAGCCACGGAGCUGAGACUGACUUUACGGCCUCUUCUAAGCCUUACUCUAAGGUAAGCCCUGUUCAGAGACUUGCCUUGAUGGUCUCAGGCAUCAAGAUGCUGACAUCUUGUAAACCAGGUGCUCAACACCUGAGGAAAAACCUCCAGUCUUGCAGCAAGUGAAUGGAGUGGCACAGCAACUGGUCCUUGCGGAAGGAUGAGGCUGACAGGACACAGAAGGGGCACUUCUCUUCAGCUCCCCCUCUCGGCUGCAGCUCUCCCUAUGGGUCUAUAGCAGGAGAGCCUGAUGUUUUCCAGUAGACCUUGGUGGGUACGAGACCUAAAUCAUGGGCUCCAAAGGCCAUCUUGAAUCAAAACUACCAGCAUAUUUUUUUUUUCUGAGACAGAGUCUCGCUCUGUCACCCAGGCUGGAGUGCAGUGGUGCCAUCUCGGCUCACUGCAAUCUUCGCCUCCUGGGUUCACACCAUUCUCCUGCCUCAGCCUCCCAAGUAGCUGGGACUACAGGCGCCCGCCACCACACCUGGCUAAUUUUUUUUUUUACUUUUAGUAGAGACGGGGUUUCACCAUGUUAGCCAGGAUGGUCUCGAUCUCCUGACUUCAUGAUCUGCCCACCUUGGCCUCCAAAGUGCUGGGAUUACAGGUGUGAGCCACUGCGCCUGGCCAAUACCAGCAUAGUUUAGCUGCUAUCCCAACUUCCAUUACCUCUUCAAUAGAAUGCAAGCUCCAAGGUGCCUGCAAGUUUUUAUUCCUUCCUGUGUCCCUGUAAACAGUGCCUGCCACUUACAGGGUGACUGAAUGGGUGAAUAUUUACUAAACCAAUAGUUACAUAAUUAGAAGAAACAAAAGGUACUCUUUGCCAAGAAGAGAAGACUAAGAAAAACUUGAAAGAAGUGUGGGGCUUCCUUCAGCUGGAGCCUCUUUCCAAGUUGUAUGGUGUGUGGAAUUCUUACUGUGAUGUGGGAGAGGCCAGCCUGGGGUCACUUACGGAUGAGUCUGAAGGCACAGUCAAUAUACAGGAGUCAGCUGAAGCUGGGGAAAUGGCACAGUUGUUGCAAUCCUCGUCUCUCAUUUGCUUCUUGGUAAAUCCCAGCUCCUUUCAAGCUGAAACUAAGCCCUCUCUAGGCUCCUUGCCCACAGACUGGGCCAGUCUGACAGGUGCUUCAGUGGUAUGAGGGGUGGGGUGGGGAAGGAGAUGCACUGUCACCUUUAGGCAAGGGGCUGAAUGCAUCCAGGUGAGUUCUGUGACAUUCUGAAUGUGCCAGAGCAGGCAGUUUGAGAGGAACAGACUGAGGAAAUACUUGUUUACAUAAAGUUACUAAGGCAGGAAUACCCACUCUCCUGUGUGCCAAGCAAGCCAGUGGGCAGCAACCCUCCCUGAACAUGAAUGCCCUCAGGGCCUUUACUCACACUGCUCCCUCCAGUGUCCUUUAUUGGACAUCACUGGCCAUCUCCACCUGCCCAGAAUCCACAGUAUCACCGCUCCUACUCUGCACCACGCCCAGUCCUGCCCAAGCAGAGGGGCUUCCUCUAGUGCUCAAUGUUCACCCGGAGAGGGCCUCAGUGGGUAACUAUUAGUGUGGGCCACCAAAGUUGUAACCUUGAGGGGUUUUACAAGGCCAGAGACCUUGCCUAGUAUAUAGAAUUGGCAGGUAUUUACAAAUUUUGUAAAAAUUAUCUCUCCCGCCAAACUUCUACCAGUACUCUAACCAAAAAGCUUUCUAUUUCUGGGUUUAUUACAAUUGCUAAAAGCGGUUAUAAUCUUCAUUAUUCUUUGGAAGGAUCUGAGAAGCAUGAAAAGGCACUGGCCCAGGCCUGAGUUCUAAUGGUGAUCAUCUCACAAGCCAGGGACUUCUCCCCUUCCUGGGCCUCAGUAACUGCUUGUUAUAAAAACAAGGGGUGUCUUUUAGCUCCAUUAGGUUAGGAUACCAUUUUGAGAGAAUACACAUGACGACUUAAGUGAAGUUUACUAAAGAAAAAUUAUUCUCCAGAAAUCAGCAGUACUUUGCAGACAUGCUGAGAAUACAUAAUCAUUAGGCAUUAGGGCAGUAUGGCAGUAUUUUAGCCAAACUCCUUUCACGUAAUUAAAAAAACUCACUUCAGACUGGUUUCAAAAAAUCAAAAAACAGACCGGGUACCAUGGCUUACGCCUGUAAUCCCAGCACUUUGGGAGGCCGAGACAGGGUGAUCACCUGAGGUUGGGAGUUCGAGACCAGCCUGACCAACAUGGAGAAACCCCGUCUCUACUAAAAAUACAAAAUUAGCCAGGUGUGGUGGCGCAUGCCUGUAAUCCCAGUUACUCAGGAGGCUGAGGCAGCAGAAUCACUUGAACCUGGGAGGUGGAGGUUGUGGUGAGCCGAGAUCGUGCCAUUGCACUCCAGCCUGGGCAACAAGAGCGAAACUCCAUCUCAAAAAAAAAAAAUCAAAAAUCAUUAUAAGGAUAACUGACAGAUUAAUGUAGUCCAAUGCAAGGAUGCAGGAAUAGAUGCAGAAACCAAGGAUGUCUUCAGGGUUAUCAAGGUACCUGCUAUCUCAGGCCCACAUGCUUCUGUUUGUCCAUGCAGUGCUGGCUCCUGAUUUUGUAAGUGCCACAUCCAAGCACCAUUCCAGAUGGUGAACAGUAUCUCUCCUUCCCCAUGCAAAAU